rnacentral:lncRNA from 1 species
UGGCUCGGUCCCUUGGCCUCGUCACGACGCAUGCUCGACUGCGAAUGCUGGCUGGGGAUGAGCCCGGGAAGAAGUGAGGUGGUGGGUUUUGGCCUGUGCUGGCGUGCGAGAGCUGCGUGGAGACACGAGGAUGCUUCCUGCAAGACACGCGUGAGCCGACUAAGUCGUGGAGCACAGGAGGAGCUCGAUGCCGCAGGUUAUGGACAACUGCAGCGUCUUCGCGUGCCGGAGGGCCACCCGUGCCCCCACGUGCAUAGGAAGCACACCUUCCCUCCUCUUGGCUGUUGCAGAAUGAGGCUGGGUCCCAAAUGGGUCUCCAGACCUGGAA